rnacentral:lncRNA from 1 species
UUUUAUUUAUGCUGACAUCCUUCCAGGGCUAUAAGAAACAAAAUAUUUUGAUUUAGUCCCUGUAAAGCAUAUCAUUUAUGCAGAGGUCCUCAAAAUAUGUUAAUUUAGUCCCUGUAAAACAUAUUAUUUAUGCAGAGGUCCUUGUAGGGUAAUGUGAUAAAAUUUUUGUCAUUUAUUUUAUAUUUUAGUAUACUUGAUAGCAUGAUAUGACACAUGUACUGAUUGUGUAGAUUAGUAAAAUAUUAAAUACAUGUUUUAUUUUAAUUUGUCAU